CUGACCCCCAGAGACUAUCUCCCUAAUUCACAACUGUCAUUUUCAGUCUACACCUUUGUUUCAAAAAUCUUAGAACAUCCCCUGUGUAAUGGCUGUUGGUGGAAGAAGGUGAGGACCAAAGCGCAGCGUGGUGAACCAUCCUUGGAGCUCCUUCUAGUCCCCAGUGAGGAGCCGUCAGGCUCAGGGACCCAGAAACUCAUGUGUUCUGGGUGGGGCUUCAACCCUCAGAUCAAGUGGCUCUCUGGGUCUGAACAGAGGUCUGCAGCAGCCUAUGAGAGAAGGAUGGGGGAAGACGGACAUGUGGCACUAACCAGUUAUAUCACAGUAACACAGCAGGAUUGGAACCAGGGUAUGGUCUUCACCUGUGAGGUCAUCGACACGGAUCUUCAGAAAACUACAAGGAAGAGCACCAGUUUAUGUACAGCUUUUCCCUCGUCUACUCCAUACCUCCACCUGGAGACCCCCAGAUUCAGGACAGUGAUGACACAGACUGAGGUAACAGCUACAUGUGUGGUCCACUCUGCGUAUGACGCCAACGUGUCCUGGCUUCUGGAUGGAAAAGACCCAACCAGUAGGACCCAGGUGAACCAGGCCAGCAGCACAACUCAGAGCAUCAGCAGUAAUCUGACUCUUCCCUCAAGCCAAUGGAAAACCCUGAACACAAUAACAUGCAGAGCUGAACAUCGAUGCUUCAAACCCACACAGAAGACCAGCAAUGUUGAAGGACCUGCAGUGGAGCAGCACUCCCACAGUGCUGAUCAGGAGGUCUCUCCCAGAGUUACUGAAGGGAGACAGUGCUGUGCUGGAGUGUGCCAUCACACAACUCUCCUCCAGUGACCUCUACAUCACCUUUCAGGCCAAUGGGGUUGAUUUCCCUGAGAAACAGUAUGUGGAUCUGCCUGCCUCCAAAGGCCCCCAUUCGCUCACCAGACAGUUCUCUAUCCCCAAAUCACACUGGAAGACAGACAACACUUUCACCUGUAAAGUUAACCAAGGUGAACUGUCUAUGGAGCUCCUUCCAGUCCCCAGUGAGGAGAUGUCUGGCUCAGCAACCCAGAAACUCAUGUGUUCUGGGUGGGGCUUCAACCCUCAGAUCAAGUGGCUCUCUGGGUCUAAACAGAGGGAUGCAGCAGCCAAUGACAUAAAGAUGGGGGAAGACGGACGUGUGGCAGUAACCAGUCAUAUCACAGUAACACAGCAGGAGUGGAACCAGGGGAGGGUCUUCACCUGUGAGGUCAUCGACAAGUAUCUUCAGAAAGUCAGGAAGAGCAUCAAUAUAUGUGCAGUGACUCCAAUAUCAUCUCAGAAAGUGGGGGUUUACCUACAGGGACCCACUCUUCAAGAGCUGAGGACAGAUGGAACGGUGCCUGUCACCUGUCUGCUGGUGGGUCUCAGCCUUGGGGGUUUUUCUGACAGCUGGAAGGUGGAUGGGGUUGUGGCUUCUCAAGGUGGAGUCACACCGACCCCCAAGGAUCAUUCAAAUGGGACACAGACUGAGCAGAUCAUGUUUAACGUGUCUGUGAGGGACUGGCAUGCACACAAACGUGUGUCUUGUGAGGUGAAGCACCGCUGCACCAGCCAAGCCAGGAGGAGCAUAUCAUCAAAUGCAGAGAUCCCAAGCCACCCUCUAUAAAGAUAGUGAGACCAUCAGAUUCUGAUCUAUGGGGGUCAAAUAAUGGCACACUGCUUUCCUUAGUGUCUGGGUUGUUCCCCUCUGAUGUAAUAGUGAAUUGGGAGAAGGCUGGCAGUCGCCUACCUUUAUCUCGCUACUCCAGUAGCCCUUCAGUUCUUUAUGCAGGGAGCAGCACCUACUCCAUGAACAGUAGACUCAUCGUGCCCAGGUCCGAGUGGAAUCAGAACUCCAAUUACUCCUGUGCUGUCAGACAUGAGUCGUCCAAGAGACCUAUCACCAGCACAAUAGAGAAUGUAUUUGGCUCAGUGACCCCCUCCUCACCAACAGCCACCCUGUUCCAGGGUCCCAGUGAGCUUGUCUGCCUGGUGCUUGGCUUCAGCCCUUCAGACAUCAACAUCACCUGGCUGCUGGACAACGUCACAGAGCUGUGGAACAACAACACUAGCACCCCCUACAGGGCACCAGGGGGUAAGUUUGGCAUCAGGAGCUACCUGAGCUUGGCACCCCAGGACUGGGCACCGGGGGCUGUUUACACCUGCAGGGUGACCCACACCACCCAGACUCUGGCCCUGAACAUAUCCAAACCAGAGCUCCUUGAGCUGGAGGGUGUGUUCUUUGACGAGAACAGGUCUGAUCCAAUCCUGGCGGACACUGCAGAGGAGAACUGGAACAUGGCCUGCAUCUUUCUGGUCCUCUUCCUCAUCUCCCUCCUCUACAGCUUCACAGUCACUCUGGUCAAGACAAAAUUAUGACUUCAGGACACUUCCAUAUGAUGGAUCCCUAGGAGUUCAACUGGAAAUGAAACCAUUUAUUUCAACCUUUUCUUAUAAAAUCACAACACGUUUCUUAAGAAAAUUGCAUAGUUUGAAUUUCUUACGGUUACCUGUUGCAGGUUUGAUGACAGGGAAGUGUUCUUGUUUUUAUUCCCCACAAAGACAGACAAUGUGGAGGUGUGCUUACUUGCUCUCAUUUCUUGAUAAAACGUUCUAGAGUUUUUGAACAGAGAUAAAAAUAGAUAUUUAACCACUACUAAAUAAAGCAUACCAUUGCAGUUAUUGCUGAAUUAUCUUCUGAUAAUAAAACAUGAUUUCAAACUA